rnacentral:rRNA from 1 species
CCUACGGGAGGCAGCAGUGGGGAAUAUUGGGCAAUGGACGCAAGUCUGACCCAGCAACGCCGCGUGAAGGAUGAAGGCUUUCGGAUUGUAAACUUCUGUCAAGGGGGAAGAGCAGAAGCCGUUCCUCCUAGAAAAAGCCACGCCUAACUACGUGCCAGCACCCGCGGUAAUACGGAGGUGGCAAGCUUUGUACGGAUUUACUGGGCGUAAAGGGCGUGGAGCCGGGGCGACAAGUCAGAUGUGAAACCCGCGGGCUCAACCCGGAAACUGCAUUUGAAACUAGUGGUCUUGAGUGCCGGAGAGGUCAGUGGAAUUCCCGGUGUAGCGGUGAAAUGCGUAGAUAUCAGGAGGAACACCAGUGGCGAAGGCGGAUGACUGGACUGUAACUGACGGUGAGGCGCGAAAGCGUGGGGAGCAAACAGGAUUAGAUACCCGAGUAGUC